rnacentral:misc_RNA from 1 species
GCUUCUUCUUCUCGUAUGCGGCUUGAGCCCUCUCUUUCCUCUUCCUUUCAAGCUCCUUGAUAGUGUCGUAGUGGUUCCAUCCCACUUCUGAUGAGAGUCUGCCCAACAAGCAGUAUUUGUGUCCAGCUUGAAGCCUCAAAACCUUGAGAGCAUCGGGGAUGACCAUCCGCUUCAUCUUAUCAUAGGGAGGAGGAACACCUUCAUAUGCCUUCAAUCGGGCAAGAGCAGCAGCUCCACGCUUUGUCUUGUGUGGGAUCAUCCCACGGAUUGUUCGCCAGAGGAUCUUGGCAGGAGCACGGAAGUGAAUAGGUCCA